AUUGAACGCUGGCGGCAUGCUUUACACAUGCAAGUCGAACGGCAGCAUGGGUGCUUGCACCUGAUGGCGAGUGGCGAACGGGUGAGUAAUGUAUCGGAACAUAUCCGCAAGUGGGGGAUAACGUAGCGAAAGUUACGCUAAUACCGCAUAUUCCCUGAGGGGGAAAGGAGGGGAUCCGCAAGGACCUUUCGCUUACGGAGUGGCCGAUAUCAGAUUAGCUAGUUGGUGGGGUAAAGGCCUACCAAGGCGACGAUCUGUAGCGGGUCUGAGAGGAUGAUCCGCCACACUGGGACUGAGACACGGCCCAGACUCCUACGGGAGGCAGCAGUGGGGAAUUUUGGACAAUGGGGGCAACCCUGAUCCAGCCAUGCCGCGUGAGUGAAGAAGGCCUUCGGGUUGUAAAGCUCUUUCAGCUGGAAAAAAAUCGCAUCACCUAAUACGUGGUGUGGAUGAUGGUACCAGCAGAAGAAGCACCGGCUAACUACGUGCCAGCAGCCGCCGUAA
rnacentral:rRNA from 1 species